AGGAAAUGCUAGAUCCAUG
rnacentral:misc_RNA from 1 species